UCCAUCUAAAUGAUUCUUCCAUAUACGGCUGAUAUUCAUACUGAACAUGUUUUGAUGUAAUAUUUCUUUACUUUCAGCAUUUAGCUUCGAGCAUGUGAUACGUGACUGGAUGGAAUUCCUGGAGAACUGUAUUAACAUGUUCCAAAGAGCUGAAUCCUGAGAAACCAUGGGGAAGAAAGCAGACAGGAGUACUCAUGAGGACAUUGAUGCAGAAACCCAGGUGUAAAGUCAAAUAUGCUGAAUGGCUCUCCAUCAACAAAUUAAAGAGGCAAAUAUAA
rnacentral:lncRNA from 1 species